UUAAUCGCGAAAAAACUGAAAUCUCAAAGUUUUACAGCAAAUCGACUCGAAUCGAACAAGAGAGAGCAAAAAUGAACUCAAUGGUGGCUUUAGGGAAGAAAUUCACGAGAAAUAUUCAAGAUCAUAAACGUAGGCUUUUAUCAGCUAAGUAUGAAUUAAGGCGAAAACUUUAUAAAGCGUUUGUUCAAGAUCCUGAACUUCCCCCUGAAAUGAGAGAAGCUCAUCGUUACAAGCUUUCAAAAUUGCCAAGGAACAGUUCAUUUACUCGAAUCAGAAAUCGGUGCGUUUUCACUGGUCGGCCUCGUGCUGUGUAUGAAAAGUUUAGGAUGUCGCGUAUUGUGUUCCGUGGUUUGGCUGCUCGUGGUGCUUUGCAAGGUGUUAAGAAAGCUUCUUGGUAGACUUACACCCCAGGAUUACUUCAUUAGGAGGCUACCAAAAGCAUUACCAUUGGAUCUCAUAUACCAAAGCAAAGUAAACUACAGUGGGACUAAAGUUUAUAUUUCAGAAGUUGUCGUAGCUUUUUUCAAAUAAAUUGUCAUGCUAUGUUAUGAGAUUUCUGCCAUUUCAAAUAUCUAGCUCUUCAGGUUGGCUGUCUGUAUACUUUUUAUCUCUGCUUGAAGGUUUCUGGAAGUUCUUAAUCUGCUUGGUGGAACCUUGCUAAAGUUUUUCAUUGUCCUGAAACUUCUGAUUUUAUGAGAAGGCCUGAAUUAUUACUUUGGACUCUAAUUCCA